rnacentral:sRNA from 1 species
AGAGGGAGGGAGAGGACAGUGCCAAAACCCAGCUCCUGGCCAGUCCCCAGCUCCUCCCUGCCUGGCCCUAUCCCAGGAUCCCCUCCCCAGCCUCCCAGCUAUGAUGUACCCCAGGGCCCAGACUUCAGGCGCCCUCACAAUGCCGGCGGUUUGAGUACAAGCUCAGCUUCAAAGGCCCAAGGCUGGCAUUGCCUGGAGCUGGAAUACCCUUCUGGAGCCAUCAUGGAGACGCCAUCCUGGGCCUGGAGGAAGUGCGGCUGACGCCAUCCAUGAGGAACCGGAGUGGCGCCGUGUGGAGCAGGGCCUCUGUCCCCUUCUCUGCCUGGGAAGUAGAGGUGCAGAUGAGGGUGACGGGACUGGGGCGCCGGGGAGCCCAGGGCAUGGCCGUGUGGUAUACCCGGGGCAGGGGCCAUGUAGGCUCUGUCCUUGGGGGGCUGGCCUCGUGGGACGGCAUCGGGAUCUUCUUUGACUCUUCGGCAGAGGAUACUCAGAACAGUCCUGCCAUCCGUGUGCUGGCCAGCGAUGGGCACAUCCCCUCUGAGCAGCCUGGGGAUGGAGCCAGCCAAGCGCUGGGCUCCUGUCAUCGGGACUUCCGGAACCAGCCACACCCCUUCAGAGCACAGAUCACCUACUGGGGUCAGAGGCUGCGCGUGUCCUUGAACAGUGGCCUCACUCCCAGUGAUCCAGAUGAGUUCUGCAUGGAUGUGGGGCCCCUGCUUUUGGUCCCUGGAGGUUUCUUUGGGGUCUCAGCAGCCACCGUCACCCUGGCAGGUGAGGAUCCCACUGGGCAGGUAAGAGCAGAAGGGCAGUGACGAAUAAAUCACCCUCAGCACACCUUCUAAAGAGCACUGGGGUGGCGUCAGCCACUUCGCCACGGACCUGGGCCUCCAUGACCCUUCGGAAAAGUAAUGUCUGCCUUGAGACUUGCAAGUCUCAAAUGGGAUAAAACAAGAGAAGCUUUGAUUUCAGUGCUGGCCAUAUAAGUACUCCUAGCUGUGAGCUGCGGGACAAGUGGAAGACAGACAGCAAGGAGGGACAUUUAGGAAAAUGGAGCAAAGAGAUGUGACACCAUGGAGAGUCCAUGGAGGGUCCCACAGCGGGAAAGCCAAGGGCAACCAGAGCGUGGGAGUCCUUGAAUGCCAGGACCUUGGUCUGGCUUCUGAGGAGGAGAGUGACAUGGUCAGAGCUAUGCUGGAAAGGUGGCCACGGUGCAGUUGCUACUACCAGUAGCAGCUGUGCUCUGGGGGCCUAGAGAGUGUCCGUUGGUCUGCUGCCAUGGCUCUAGCCCGGGAUGUUUUGGGAUCAUCCAGUUCUGCCACAGGGGCCUGCCUCUGACUGAGUGUGAGGUUCAACCCUCACCACCCACCCAUCUACCUGUCAACCCUCACAUCUUCCUA